rnacentral:rRNA from 1 species
CCCUUAGAUGUUCUGGGCCGCACGCGCGCUACACUGACGAAUGCAACGAGCUUAUAACCUUGGCCGAUAGGUCUGGGUAAUCUUUGAACGCUGUUCGUGAUUGGGAUAGACCUUUGCAAUUAUGGGUCUUCAACGAGGAAUUCCUAGUAAACGCAAGUCAUCAGCUUGCAUUGAUUGCGUCCCUGCCCUUUGUACACACCGCCCGUCGCACCUACCGAUUGAAUGGUCCGGUGAAAUCUCGGGACGGCGGCUUGGUCGCUUGCGUCCGACUGCUGAAACUUGAUUAAACCAUAUCAUUUAGAGGAAGGUGAAGUCGUAACA